rnacentral:tRNA from 1 species
GUUUUAAUAGUUUAAAAAAAACAUUAGUCUUGUAAACUAAAAAUAAAAAAAAUUUUUUUUAAAACU